rnacentral:rRNA from 1 species
GAAGUAAAAGUCGUAACAAGGUUUGGUUGAACGGGAAGCCUUUGACACAACGACUAUAACCAUGUGUACAGUCUAGACAUCAUUCUUUCUAGGCGACGUUGCCCCUGUGCUGGGACCCUAUCAUGGUCGAUAGUGGACCAGCAGCCAGUUUCUGGUUCACAGAUUAGGUGGUGACGGUCCCGGUUUGACGAACCGAGAUCAAGAUAUAAUCGGUCUCUAUAGGCGAUUACUAUAGUUGAAGACGUUCCGUAGGUGAACCUGCGGAAGGAUCAUUAUUGAGUUAGGGUCCUCCGGGCCCCAUCUCCAACCCUUGCUUAUUCUACCAUGUUGCUUUGGCGGGCCCGUCCUUAACCGGACCGCCGGGAUCUUACUCCCUGGCCCGUGCUCGUCAGUAGCCCCAUUCAAUUCUGUUCUCAGUGACGUCUAAGUACCAAUAUAAUAACUAAAACUUUCAACAACGGAUCUCUUGGUUCUGGCAUCGAUGAAGAACGCAGCGAAAUGCGAUAAGUAAUGCGAAUUGCAGAAUUCCGUGAGUCAUCGAAUCUUUGAACGCACAUUGCGCCCUCUGGUAUUCCGGAGGGCAUGCCUGUUCGAGCGUCAUUAUCAACCCUCAAGCUCGGCUUGCUGUUGGACCGCACCGUCUCCUCGACGGUGGGUCCCAAAGAUAAUGGCAGAGUCUGGAGGACCCUGGGUGCAGCGAGCUUCUUAGCACGCGUCCAGAUGGUGUUCCGGCUUGGUCUCAACUAUCAAUUUCUUCUGGUUGACCUCGGAUCAGGUAGGGAUACCCGCUGAACUUAAGCAUAUCAAUAAGCGGAGGAAAAGAAACCAACAGGGAUUGCCUCAGUAACGGCGAGUGAAGCGGCAACAGCUCAAAUUUGAAAUCUGGCUCCGUCG